UUUAUCGUCAUCGUCAACUCUGAAUGUUGUCACAUACUCACAUGAGCAUGAAAGCGAGUGAUUACAACGAGUCAACAAAGGAGGAGAAUUCGAACUCAUUUGUCCACCGUAGUGAUCAGUCACCCACCGGCACAGUACUGCACCAGCAGAGCCGUCCCUGCCAUAAAGUCAGUGAGACAAGAGCUUUAGUCCACAACUUUUCUUACAGUUUUUUGAGGCCACAUUUUUGAAAUAUGAUUAUGUUCAAGUGGUUAAAAAACUAUUUUCACUUUUUGUCUGAGUUGGAGUUUGCACCUUCAAUGGUUUAUGUUGGCUUAUAAUGUUUCCUUUUUCUUUUUUAUGCUUGUUCCUCUUUUAGUUUGAAUCAUUUAUUUGUUAUCUAUGUGUUUCUAUUUUUUUCUAUGUUACUUAGUAUUACAAAUAAUGAUAGUUCAAACAAACUAGUGGUUUCUAUUUUAUUAACAUAUCUACUAAUUAUCUGAUAUUAAGAUGACAUAAGUACAUAAUAACUAAUCUACUAUAUCAUUUUAUAUUUCAAAUAGAAAAUAUAAUAUAUCGUAAAUACGCCCAAAGCGGCCGCCUAUACAGUCACUAUACGCUAUGCGCCCUUGCAACGUAGCGAAAUCAUCAAAUACGGCUUAUAAUGCGGUUUGUUAGAAAAUGGAUGUAUACACGGCGAAUAGUGCGCACAAACGGUGCCCUCUAUACGUUUACAUUUUUUUUUGCUCUGAACAUGUUUGUUUUGUUUAAAUAUUAUAAUAGUUCAAGUCUAUUUGUUGGUAUGUAGUCUCAUUAGGAGUGUUCAAUGCUUUAAUAGUCAUUGCUAAGUGAACUUUUUAUAGUUUAUUUAUAGUGUGAAUUAUAAUAGUUGCUAAAUACGAUCAGUUAUUUUUUUACUACACAUUUAUUUUUCCAAAAACUGCAAAAAAUCAUUCAAGAGAUUUUGGUAUGGCUGGAUCAUCUGCAAAUUCAAUUAUGAACCAAGCAGGAUCUUUCAAAAAUUUUAGUAUUGAAAACCUUAUAUUCUUUUAGUAUUAAUAUUAUUUUUAUGUUCACAUUAAUCAUCAAUAAAUUAUAUAUAUAUACAUGGAUAUAUAUUAUAUCUGUUUAGGUCCGUUUAGGCGUCCGCAUAUACAGCUAGGAGAACGUAUAACACUGAUAUCUAUUUAUAUUGUAUAAAUAUAUGAUAUUGUAUAUAAAUAUAUUUCAGGCCACCAAAUUUACGGGGAUGACACUGUGCACCAGCGUACCACAAUUUGAAAUUUAGGGCCGUAUAUAUGAUCGCUAUUGUGCAGCGGGAAAAAUUAUUGAGAAAAAUUAGGGUUUGUAUCAUAUCGUGACGCAAGUAAUCUAUUUUUAAUCAGUUAAUAACAGAUCUGUAAAAAAAAAUUUUGCUUAAAACAGAUCUGUAAACUUGUGAACUCAUGAAGAGAUGAUCAGGAUCCCGAGGGAGCGUAUACACAGCUUGCUUGUCUACAAGAACGAUCAAAGAAAAAGGAUGAGUUUAAAAAGCCUUUAAUUUGUCAAAAGAAGAGAGAGGAGGACUAGUCAAGGAAUCAGAGAGGCGCCGCAUGACACGAGUUUAGAAAUCGAAAGAUUGAUUAGCCAAAACAUAACCAGUAGGAUGCACUCAUCAGGUUGGACAGAGGUUGUUCCUUAAGUUUCACAACAGAUUCUUGUGCUUGUUUACCAUCUUAUGAACAAUUUUCUUAAAUCCUUAAUUAGUUUUUUGUUAGAUCGUUGAUUACACUACCAUUUGGACAACGUUAAUUAUCUCUUCCAUGUUUAGAUCUUUCUUUGAAGCAGAGGACUAUAUAUAUUGCAAUGACUAAAGACCAGUUAAUUAGCAAAGUUUGUUGUUUGUCGUUAAUUUACAAGAAUCCCUUUAUAUACUUUGUAGUUGACGUUAAGUAAAGACAAGAAAUGAUUCAGAGUUACACGCAGGAGGAAUGUUAUUUUGUGGUGAUGGGAAUGUACUGCCCUUUUCAUGAUACUAAUAGGAAAGUCAUGGACCAAGUGAUCCUAAUAGCGAUGUGAUUCACAAUUUUUGAUUCAUAAUGACUCAAUAUCCCUUUUAAUAGUGAUGCCCACUUAUACCAUCUUAAUAUAUUGUUAAAAUUACGAGUUUUUACGGGGAUACUGUUGAUUUCAAACUUUUGAUAUCUCUAGAUACAUUUAGCAAUUCAUUUUAGAAAACAGUUCGAGGAGUACCCUCACGGCCUCACCUCAUAAACAUACCUUUGAUAUCACGCUUUAAAGAUGAUUUAUUUGAGAUUUUCUCGGACAUAACCAAAGCGGUUCAUGAAAUGAUCCAGCUUUUGGAGGCCGUAAUGUCAUUACAUGCAUAGAUUGAUAAAAGAGAGAAACUUUAAAGAGUGAUAAUACUUGCAAAAUAACCAGGGCCCAUGCGAGUUUUCAGAGUCUUCACCAAUCGAUACCAAGGUUCUUGGAGAGGAAGAGUUUGUCGAGAUAUGCAAUUACUGGUGUCGAUGCAGUAACAUAGCUUUGCAGAUGUACAUUAAUCGUUUCCUCUGGAAACAUUUCAUAAAGAGUAAAACAAUCGUCAGAGAAUUUGUAUCUUUCGAAAAUAUAUUGAAGAAACAAGUAGGCUUUUGUUCUACUAUAGAUAAUAGAUAUAGCACGUAAACUUUGUAAAUGAAAUCAAACUGCCUCAAUUACCAACAUAACACAGAGAAUAUACAAUAUCAUGUUGUACUUCAUCACUUGCAUCUCAAAAUAAUUUGAAAAAUCGACAGUCGUUAUAGAGUGGUUCAUAUCCUGUAUAUACAUAUUAUUUGAGGUAUUUCGUAUUUUUAUCAACAACAUGCAUUUACUAAUUUGUGAGUAGGUUCUAUCUGGAUGGUAACACACUAACAGUCAUAUAGUAAAACCACUACAUAUGCUACAUUACUGAGUAAAAUGCUUCGUGACACAUACUUAUGUUAGUUUAAGUCCCUAGUUUCAAUGGACUUUCAUCACAGUGACUUCCAUGUUUGUUUUCGAUGUCAGAUAAUCCUAGCGCGACUUCUAGUUCUAGAGAUAAUACAGAUUUUCGUUCAAAAAAAAAAUCGUUCAAAAAAAAAAAAGAGAAUACAUAUUUUAGUCUAGUCUAAUAAAUUAUAUUUUUGAAUCAACCGAAGAUCAUGUUAACUAGAAUUGACUUUCAUUAUAAAACCAUUUGAUUAUAAUAAUAGUAUAACUACCAUGUCUCAUUUGAUUUCCGAGAUGUGAUUCCAUUAAUUAGGAAAAAAAAUCAUGUACUCACCAGCUUCACCGAGCAGGAGUAGCACCAAAGACUUCGAGGGGAGAGAGUUCAGCCCAGUAGCACAAGCUUUCUGAAUAUUAUACUGAUGGUGAGGAAAAAGCACUUGAUUGUAAGCCUUAGUCGCUGCAUCCUUUAGAGAGUCAUCACCUCUGUGAAUCAUAUAAUAUUCGAAAACGAUUUAACCCCCAAUAAAAUUACAACAAGCCAUGGACAAACUGAUACAAGUAAUUAAAACUCGGGUAUCUUGUAUGGCUAUAUAUAUAUAUAUAUAUGUGUGUGUGUGUAUAUGAAUAUAUCUGUUUGGUUGUGUUAACAUUUUGUGAGAGAGCCUAAUAAAAGAAGACUUACUCAGUAGCCAAUAACUCUUCGCAAAGAACCUUGAUCAUUUCAAGACCCUGCUUUACCUUCAAAAGGUUUCUUGUAUGGCUACCAUAUUUCUUUACACAGCCUGCCUCAAUGUCUUUGUCAAUCAUUUCCUCUAAUGUCGAUAUUGAACGCGAAGCCGCGGCAAGAUCAUUGAGCUGGAAAAAUAAGUUUGUUUCUCAACGCUUCAUAUAUAAACAAAAACUCAUUUAUAAAUCUUCAUAAUUUUUCUUUUUUUGCUAAAUCUUCAUGAUUGUUUGUUACAUGGAUUAUAUAUCUGUUUCUAAAUUUAUUGGAAGUUACAUGGUACCCGGUAGGCCUGAAACUUUUAUCCGAGAUCCGGAUUUUAUCCGAAAUUUGAGUCGAAUCCGGAUUCGAUCCGAGAUUUGAGCCGAAUCGGAUCCGGAUAGUAAAAUGUUGGAUCCGUCAAAGCCGGAUCCGGAUAUCUUGAUUUUUUAGUCUAGAUAUCUGGAUUCUUAAGUUUUAUUAAUAACUGUUUCAAAAAUAGUAAUAUCUAUAUAUAAAAACUAACUUUGUUUAAUAUAUUUUCAUUUUUAUAAUAGUAUAUGUAAAUUUUAUGUAAAUUUUGUAAUAUUAUACAUAGAAAUAAUUAAAAAUAUUAUAUAUUUUUUAUUUUAAAAUUAUUUUUAAUAUUUUAUAUAUAUAUUAAUAUUAUUUUUAUUUAUUUUAAGAAUCCAAAUCCGGAUCCGGAUAUCCGCCGGAUAUUACAAUUUCUAGAAAGAUAAUCGACACCCGGAUAUCCGAGAACCUCAGAUCUGGAUAAGGAUAGUAAAAUUAUGGAUCCGCCGGAUAAAGAUCCGAAUCCGGAUACCUUAAAAUUGUCCGGAUACCCGAUCCGUCCCAGGCCUAGUAACCGGGGGUAUUAUUUUUUCCCCAUGAUAGUUGACUAAAAUUAUCAAAAUACUCACUUAAACUAAACAUGGGUUACAAGAAUUUGGUUACAUGCCCCAUACAAAUUACAAUCUUGCGUACGCCCCUGAUGGUACCUGGUCAGAGUUACAUGGUAUAUAAUCUUCUAAUCCCUCUAAAAACACUCAAAAUAUCGAGAAAGUAAAAGAGAGGAUAGUCUAUGUACCAAAUCUCUUAUCAAAAAUCAAGUCCAUGGUCAUUAGAAAAAUACUGUACUUAUUUAUAACCAUGUACUAAAAUAUAUUGUUGAUGAGCACGGACCAGUAUCCUAGAGUUUUGGAAUGUUUAUCUUUAGACAAGGACAGUGGAUCCGUAAACCAUCCGGUUCUAUUUCCUGGAUCCAAAUAACCUAUAGUGAUCUAGGAGGUGUUUGGUUGGAAUUUAACUUACAAUUUGUACUAUAAGUUUAGUGCGUAUAAUUUUUUUUAUUGUUAUAGAUGUAUAUGCUGUAACUGUAAAAAACUUAAUGAAAAAUAAAGAUAGUAGACAUAUAUUCUUACAGAAAUAUAUUUUUCCUACAGCAUAAAAUAUUACUUUAGGAAAUAGAGAUUUACAACUAUUUUUUUGUUGUUGUUGUAUUUUUAGAAAUUGACUUAAAGCAUGAUUAAUCAUUUAAAAUGUUGUAAAUAAAAACUAAAGUUAAAAAAUAAUUUAUAUAGUCUAACCAAUCACCCCGUUGAUCUCGAAUAACCAUUCCAAUCCGCAAACAAUAGCUAAAAAUAAUUAUUUUUAAUAUUAAAAUAAAAGAAAAUAUCCUAUCAUUAUUUAAAAAAAAAACUCAAACUGAUUUUAACAUUUUUGGGACAUAUUUAGUUUAAAAUUCUAAAACACUCCCUAGAUUUCUAAUAACCAAGUAUAUUUGGAUCCUCAAAAAUAUCUAAAAUUAUUUAAAUUAACGAUGUAUAAUAUUAAAAUAAAAAUAUUAUCAAAUCAUUAUUUGAAAAAAUCAUAACUGAUUUAACCAUUGUGGGACAUAAUUAGUUUGGACAUUCUAAAAACUCUAUUUAAAAAAAAUAACUAUUUUAUCUAGAUAUCAUAUAUUUUUUCGUCAGAAAGAGAAAAAAUCUGAUAGAGUAGAAGUGUGAUAGUGCAAGGAUAAUGUGAAAUUCCUAGAAUUCCAGCUAAUCAAGAACAAAUUAGUUUAAUGGUUAAUACCUUAGGAUUAAUUAAUAGAAAAUUUUGAAGUUAAAUGAUCUGGUCUGAGUUUCAUUCUAAGAAGAUGUAUGAACUUAUAGAUCCAGAAUCUUCUAAUCACUAUAAUAAAAUUAUCAAUAUGCCCAAAAGGAAAGGAAAGAAGAUAAUAUCUGUACCAAAGCCCUUAUCAAAAAUCAAAUUCAUGGUGUUUGAAAGAACAACGUUCUUAUUUAUAACUAUGUACUAAAAUAUAGUGGUGACUGGUGAGCAUAGACCAGAAUCCUGGAAUUUCAGAAUGUUUAUCUCUAGAUAUGGACCUUCAGAUCCGUAAACUAACCAUCCGUUUUUAUUUUCCUGGAUCCAAAAACAAAUAACGUGAUCUAGAUCUCUGAUAACCUGGUAUAUUCAGAAUUCACAAAUAAUAGCUAGUAAUUUAAAUAAUUUAAUAUUAAAAAUACCGAAUCAUAAAGAUAAUAUUAUUAGAAAUUUUUUUUAACUAAUUUUAACAUUUUGGGACAUAAGUAGUAUGGACAUUGUAAAACCCCUAUUUAAAAAGAAAUUUACUAUUUCAUUUAGAUCCUAUAUAAUUUGUCCAAAACUGAGUAGGAAAACUAAACCAACUAAACGUCAAAAAAAAAAAAAAAAACUAAA